GGAGCCCAGCAAAGAUGGUCCUUCAGAAGUCACAGCUGCAGCCUGAUGCUGAGGAGGAUUCUGGGAUAUAAAUUAUACCUGGGAAUUCGUGGAUGUGGCACAAACACACUUCCAGCCUCUGCUCUUGAAGAUUGUUUCUCUGUCACCCAGGCUAGAGUACAGUGGUGUGAUCCUGGCUCACUGAAGCUUCAAACUCCUUGGUUCAGAUAGGGUCUCACUGUGUUGUUGAGGCUGGUCUCAAACUCCUGACCUCAAGCAAUCUUCCUGCCUUAUUUCCCCAAAGUGCUGGAAUUACUGCACCAGGCCUGAAGGUCAUGAAUUUCAAGUUCUACAUGGCACCAAGUUUCUGAUCUUUCUUUAACUUUUUCUGAAUUUCAAGGCUUAUUGGUGAAGGCAUCCCGUGAUGGCA